rnacentral:ncRNA from 1 species
AAAAAGGCUUUGAAAAGGACAGUAGAAGGGAAUACGCUUUAAGAGAGAGAGCCAUUUGCUGAGAGGCUCUUAGCACAGUUUCUUUUGAAUAUCACCUUUGAGCCGGACGGCUGAAAUCAUGCAGUUCCAUGAGAAUAAGCUUUCACGAUAGGGAUGCGUUAAAUCCCAAGAGUGUCAAAUUGUGUAUAUGAGGAUUUGCAGCAGAGCAGAUUCCAGCAUGCAUGGUUUUUCAUUUGGGUGGUACCGCGAAAAUAUUCGUCCCAAGC